rnacentral:rRNA from 1 species
CGGUGCGAUCAUUCCAACGAUAAAGCAACGGAUCUCAUCAGAACUCUGCAGUUAAGCGUGCUUGGGCUAGAGUAGUACUGGGAUCGGUGACCUCUCGGGAAUUCCCAGUGUUGCAUCCU